rnacentral:rRNA from 1 species
UGGGGAAUAUUGGACAAUGGGCGAAAGCCUGAUCCAGCCAUGCCGCGUGUGUGAAGAAGGUCUUCGGAUUGUAAAGCACUUUAAGUUGGGAGGAAGGGCAGUAAGCGAAUACCUUGCUGUUUUGACGUUACCGACAGAAUAAGCACCGGCUAACUCUGUGCCAGCAGCCGCGGUAAUACAGAGGGUGCAAGCGUUACUCGGAAUUACUGGGCGUAAAGCGCGCGUAGGUGGUUCGUUAAGUUGAAUGUGAAAGCCCCGGGCUCAACCUGGGAACUGCAUCCAAAACUGGCGAGCUAGAGUAGGGCAGAGGGUGGUGGAAUUUCCUGUGUAGCGGUGAAAUGAGUAGAUAUAGGAAGGAACACCAGUGGCGAAGGCGACCACCUGGGCUCAUACUGACACUGAUGUGCGAAAGCGUGGGGAGCAAACAGG